CAGUCGCCGCGGGAAAACGUAGGGUGCAAGCGUUAAUCGGAAUUACUGGGCGUAAAGCGUGCGCAGGCGGCUAUGCAAGACAGAUGUGAAAUCCCCGGGCUCAACCUGGGAACUGCAUUUGUGACUGCAUGGCUAGAGUACGGUAGAGGGGGAUGGAAUUCCGCGUGUAGCAGUGAAAUGCGUUGAGAUCGGAAAGAACACCAACGGCGAAAGCACUCUGCUGGACCGACACUGACGCUGAGGCGCGAAAGCGUGGGGAGCAAACAGGAUUAGAUACCCCAGUAGUCCCUGUCUCUUAUAC
rnacentral:rRNA from 1 species